rnacentral:lncRNA from 1 species
ACAGAACUCAGAACACCACUUUAAUGAUUAACACAGAUUCCUGCUAAGCUCCUAUUUAGGCUCGGUCUUUGAGUGCUUAAGAGAAUUCAUUGAUCCACAGCCUAAGUGAUUUGGGAAAUACUCAAGGAGAAGCUCCUGUUGGUACAGUCUUUAUUAUGAAGGAUACAAGGCAGAAAGAGCCAGAUGGAAGAGAAGCACAGGACAAGGUAUCGUGGAGGAGGAACAGCAUUUCUUCCCUCUGGAGGAUGUACCAUUCAGAGAACCACCUCAAAUGUGGAAACCAGGCCCUUGUCAGACACCAGACCUGAACACACCUUGACCCUGGAUUUCCUAGGCUCUAGAACUGUGAGAACGAAAUUUCUGUUUUUUAUAAAUUACCUAACCUCAGGACCUCUGUCAUCGCAGCAUAAAUGACCUAAGACAAGUAGACUAACAGAAUGAAUACAAGCAAGAUAUAAAAUAUUAGAGGGUUGCAUGGCACAUGGAAAAUGAUAACACUGAAUAACUACACAACUAAUAAUGAAUGUAAUUUGUAAUAACUACAAAACCUGUAUAAAUAAAGGUACCUAAGAAUUUUCCUAGCCGAGA